AUUCACACUCAUUACCAAAAUAGUAGAUUGAUAAAUACACAGGCAAAUAAAUAGCCUUUACCUACAUUUCUUCAAUUCACACUAUACGUGAAACUAUAAGAUAAUAUAAGACUUCAAAGUGGGAUCUUGCAAACUUAUAUGGCAGAACUAAAUGUUAUGAUUCAUGGGGAACUUGAGACCUUCACACGGGCAAACGACAAUCCUAGUCACUGAAGACACUCAUAAGAUCACCCGGUUGAAAUUUUUGAAAAAUCGCUGGACCAACUUUAGCAUUUUCCAUGACAUUCAUGUUAGGCUCCUGCUUAACUUUAGUUUCCUCAAGAUAGAUUUUUGCAGUAUUGAAGUUGCACAUUGGCGAAUCAGACUCAUCUACUGCAAAACGGCUGGGAAUGGAGGCACCUUUCAUACGUCCUUGAUCAAGAACCAGGCUUGAGUUAAUACAAUAUGGAACCGGUGAGCCCAAAUGGCUUGGGAUAAGGCCUGGUAGUUGUUUAGAAGAACCAAAUGCUGAGCUCGAGUUAUGAAGCUGCAGAUCAACACUAUUGUCAGCAUUUAUCGAGCAUGACCGAGAGAGAGAACCUCCGCUGGGGAGCCUGUUUAAGCCACAUUCUGGUUUGAGUUCCCUGUCUAACACUUGAACCACACCUGAUGAAUUAUUUGAUUGUGGCGACAGAACUCCAUAAUCAAUAACCGAAGAUUUACUCAGACUGCCGGCGCGGCUGAUGGAAGCAGGACUAUCUCCCACUUGGAAAUGACCUGGUAACUGAGAGGGCAAUACAAGGCAAGAAGGUUGCACAUUAAUUGAACGGUUGACCUCAGGAGGUCCAGACUGUCUAUGUUGCAGUUCAAUCUGCUGCUGCUUUUGCCAUUGCUGCUGUUGCAUCAUUGCCGUUAACAUGUUGCUGUUCGGAGCAAUGGGAUUGCUGCUAGGGACCAUACAUAUAUUUUUUGCUCGCUGCGAUCCAAAUCCGGAAUGAACAUCUUCAGCAGACAAGAUAGCUUGAGAAAGAUGUUUAGAAUUAGAAAUGCUGGCAGGGCAUUUCAACAGAGGCUGACCAUAAGCCAUAACUUGGUCAACAGGUAUGCACUUUGCUUGCUGCAGGGAAACUUGUACGAGA
rnacentral:misc_RNA from 1 species